CUUAGUGGCGAACGGGUGAGUAACAGGUAGGUAAUCUACCCUAGAGACGGGGAUAACGUUUGGAAACGAACGCUAAUACCGGAUAGUAUAGUAAACCGCAUGGUUAAGUAUUUAAAGGUGCUUCGGCAUCACUCUAGGAGGAGCCUGCUUCGUAUUAGCUAGUUGGUAAGGUAACGGCUUACCAAGGCAAUGAUGCGUAGCCGAGCUGAGAGGCUGAUCGGCCACACUGGAACUGAGACACGGUCCAGACUCCUACGGGAGGCAGCAGUUAGGGAUAUUCGGCAAUGGGGGAAACCCUGACCGAGCAAUGCCGCGUGAACGAAGAAGUAUUUCGAUAUGUAAAGUUCUGUUGUUCAGGAAGACAGAUAGUGAUAGGAAAUGAUCAUUAUUUGACGGUACUUGACCAGAAAGCCCCUGCUAACUACGUGCCAGCAGCAGCGCGUAAUACGUAGGGGGCGAGCGUUAUCCGGAAUCAUUGGGCGUCAAGGGUGCGUAUGCGGCCUAUUAAGUCAGACUUGAAAGCCCACGGCUUACACGUGGAGGGUGCUUUGAAACUGAUACGCUUGAAUCCAGAAGACGCAAGUGCGAAUCUACCUGGAGCGGUGGAAUGCGUAGAUCUCUGGACGAACACCAG
rnacentral:rRNA from 1 species